rnacentral:rRNA from 1 species
CCUACGGGAGGCAGCAGUGAGGAAUAUUGGACAAUGGGCGCAAGCCUGAUCCAGCCAUGCCGCGUGCAGGAAGACGGUCCUAUGGAUUGUAAACUGCUUUUAUACAGGAAGAAACACCUCUACGUGUAGAGACUUGACGGUACUGUAUGAAUAAGCAUCGGCUAACUCCGUGCCAGCAGCCGCGGUAAUACGGAGGAUGCAAGCGUUAUCCGGAAUCAUUGGGUUUAAAGGGUCCGUAGGCGGUUUAAUAAGUCAGUGGUGAAAGCCCAUCGCUCAACGAUGGAACGGCCAUUGAUACUGUUAAACUUGAAUUAUUAGGAAGUAACUAGAAUAUGUAGUGUAGCGGUGAAAUGCUUAGAGAUUACAUGGAAUACCAAUUGCGAAGGCAGGUUACUACUAAUAUAUUGACGCUGAUGGACGAAAGCGUGGGGAGCGAACAGGAUUAGGUACCCUGGUAGUCCACGCCGUAAACGAUGGAUACUAGCUGUUCGGAGCAAUCUGAGUGGCUAAGCGAAAGUGAUAAGUAUCCCACCUGGGGAGUACGUUCGCAAGAAGAGAAGACAAANAGAAGUUAGAGACGUGAGAGAGACGACGGACGACGACGAGGGGAGGAGG